rnacentral:rRNA from 1 species
AGAGUUUGAUCCUGGCUCACGACGAACGCUGGCGGCGUGCUUAACACAUGCAAGUCGAGCGGAAAGGCCCUUCGGGGUACUCGAGCGGCGAACGGGUGAGUAACACGUGAGCAACCUGCCCCAGGCUUUGGGAUAACCCCGGAAACCGGGGCUAAUACCGAAUAGGACCUGGCCUCGCAUGAGGCUGGGUGGAAAGUUUUUCGGCUUGGGAUGGGCUCGCGGCCUAUCAGCUUGUUGGUGGGGUGAUGGCCUACCAAGGCGACGACGGGUAGCCGGCCUGAGAGGGCGACCGGCCACACUGGGACUGAGACACGGCCCAGACUCCUACGGGAGGCAGCAGUGGGGAAUAUUGCACAAUGGGCGGAAGCCUGAUGCAGCGACGCCGCGUGAGGGAUGACGGCCUUCGGGUUGUAAACCUCUUUCAGCAGGGACGAAGCGUAAGUGACGGUACCUGCAGAAGAAGCGCCGGCCAACUACGUG